GCAGUCGAGCGGACAGAUGGGAGCUUGCUCCCUGAUGUUAGCGGCGGACGGGCGCUUAACACGUGGGUAACCUGCCUGUAAGACUGGGAUAACUCCGGAAAACCGGGGCUAAUACCGGAUGCUUGAUUGAACCGCAUGGUUCAAUUAUAAAAGGUGGCUUUUAGCUACCACUUACAGAUGGACCCGCGGCGCAUUAGCUAGUUGGUGAGGUAACGGCUCACCAAGGCAACGAUGCGUAGCCGACCUGAGAGGGUGAUCGGCCACACUGGGACUGAGACACGGCCCAGACUCCUACGGGAGGCAGCAGUAGGGAAUCUUCCGCAAUGGACGAAAGUCUGACGGAGCAACGCCGCGUGAGUGAUGAAGGUUUUCGGAUCGUAAAACUCUGUUGUUAGGGAAGAACAAGUACCGUUCGAAUAGGGCGGUACCUUGACGGUACCUAACCAGAAAGCCACGGCUAACUACGUGCCAGCAGCCGCGGUAAUACGUAGGUGGCAAGCGUUGUCCGGAAUUAUUGGGCGUAAAGCGCGCGCAGGCGGUUUCUUAAGUCUGAUGUGAAAGCCCCCGGCUCAACCGGGGAGGGUCAUUGGAAACUGGGGAACUUGAGUGCAGAAGAGGAGAGUGGAAUUCCACGUGUAGCGGUGAAAUGCGUAGAGAUGUGGAGGAACACCAGUGGCGAAGGCGACUCUCUGGUCUGUAACUGACGCUGAGGCGCGAAAGCGUGGGGAGCGAACAGGAUUAGAUACCCUGGUAGUCCACGCCGUAAACGAUGAGUGCUAA
rnacentral:rRNA from 1 species